rnacentral:rRNA from 1 species
CGGCGGACGGCUGAGUAACACGUAGGAACGUACCCCAAAGUGAGGGAUAAGCACCAGAAAUGGUGUCUAAUACCUCAUGUGCUCUUCGGAGGAAAGCUUCGGCGCUUUGGGAACGGCCUGCGCAUGAUUAGCUUGUUGGUAAGGUAAAAGCUUACCAAGGCGAUGAUCAUUAGCUGGUCUGAGAGGAUGACCAGCCAGACUGGGACUGAGAACGGCCCAG